GAACUCCCAUGUUCCUGAAUCCUGAUGACACCAACAACAGAUGAGUAAACUACAGAACAUGAGAUGCAGCAAACUACAAGUAGCCUAUCCUGAAGCAAUUCACAUACACACAAUAAGGUUUUUGUUUAUAAGAGCACCUGCCUUUUUUAGUACAUUAUCACCUAUACAUGUAUUACCUAUUGAAUCCAAAUACUCAAAAGUACCUGAUAGCAACUUUCAAAUUAAAUAUGAUCAUGCAAAAUGAGCUUUCUAAGAUAAAAUUACUCACUAAACAUCAGGUUUUUAUUUUACCUUGAAG
rnacentral:misc_RNA from 1 species